AUGGAGGCUCCCAGGCUAGGGGUUGAAUCUGAGCUGCAGCUGCCGACCUACGCCACAGCCACAGCAAUGCAGGAUCCGAGCCCCAUCUGUGACCUACACCACAGCUCACGGCAACGCCAUAUCCUUAACCCACUGGUCGAGACCAGGGAUUGAACCUGCAUCCUCUUGGAUACUGGUCAGGUUUGUUAAUUGCUGAGCCAUGAUGGAAACUCCCUUUUUGCCAUCUUUAUUCACUGGAGUAGAGAAUCCCUGUGGCUCAGGUUUACAUAAGUAAAUAUUCAGUAAGUCACGGAACACCUCUGAUCUUGAAGAGGCACACUUACAGUUAAAUGCUAAACCACCUCUAUUUCAAACAGUGCAAACAAUGACAGCCUGACAGCCAGAUGGUUGAAUAAAGCUCACCCACGCACAUUUCACAGAGCAUGGAAACCACUGUUAAUGAACAGCUAUCUCACUGUGGUUUUGAUUUGUAUUUCCCCAGUGAUUCCUCAUGUUGAGCAUCCUUUCAUAUGCUUUUUGGCCAUUUUUAAUGUAAGUGCCCAGCAAGUAAGCAAAUGAAGUGGGUAGAGGGGAAACAACUAGAAUUCUCACAUGGCAGCUGGUGAAAGCAAAUAGCUAUAACUUUUUAGAAAGCAAAGUGUCAGUAUCUAUUAAUAUUUAAAAUAUGCCAUACACCUGAUGCAGCAGUCUCACUUUAGGAAUUUACUCAAUACAAACAAAAGAAUCUUUGUGUGUAUGUGUAUACAUGUGUGUAUAUACGUGUGUAUAUACAUAUGUUUAUAUAUACUGUGUGUGUACAUAUGUAUGUGCAUACAUACAUGUGUAUAUAUAUACGUGUGUAUAUACACACAUAUAUAAACCUUAUAGACACAUAUAUACAGAUAUAUAUGUAUAUUGGUUAUAUAUAUUGCUUUUGUUUCAUAUAUAUACACGAAAAAUGCUUAGUGUAAUAGCAAAAUUUCUGGAAGCAAAGUGAAUGUUCAUCAGUGGUGCAAAAGUCAAACUAUAUAAUCCAUAUUAUAGAUAUUAUGCUGCUUUCAAAUAAUGAAUUUCAUAUAUAUGUACUGACCUAAGUACAAAUUAAUGACAUAUUAUUAGAUUAAAGAAAGGUUGGGUAUGCAGAUCUAAUAUGUAGAUCUCAUAGGCCUCUUUUUAAUUUAUAAAAAUAGAAGGAAAAAUAUAUAUUCAUAUAGUUUGACUAUAUUUGUAAAGAACAGGGGAAAGUGUAGAAGGCUAAUCUUAACACUGACCACUUGGUUGGGGUGAGGGGGAUUAUUAGCCUUUUUAAAAAUCUCUCCACUAACUGACUUAUUUUAAUGAGCACAAAUUGAUUUUUUAAGCAUAAAAAUUUAAAGAAAAAAAAGGCAAAACAAAUAAUACUUUAGCAGCCUUUCUGGAUUACACGGAUUAAAUUAUUCCCUCUGAAAUAAAGUGACCAUCUGUUUGCCACAGGAAAACCUAAAAUCGCAUUUUGAAAUGGACCAGAGGGUAGGGAAGUUGGAAAAGAAAAGAAAAAUAAGAGAAUCUGGAACAAUCAGUAAAAGAUAUAGAAACAGAAGACAAGGUUCUGAUCCAUACAGAAAAGGAGGUUUAUGGUCAGAGCUCCAACGAAAGAGAUAACCAAGUAAAGAGCACAGUUUGUAUUUGUUCAGAGAUCUGCAGUUUCCAGAAACGCUCUCACAUACAUUGUCUCAUUUAAUCCUCAGUAAGGAUAGCCAGGCAGGUGGGAUUACCCUUAUUUUUCAUAUGAGGAAAAAAGAGCUUAAAGACCCCAUGUGUGAUUUGAUCAGGUCACAGAGCUUGAAAGUGACAAAGUUUAAACCCUCCUAACUGCAAGUUCAGGAGAGCAACCAGAGAAGCCAAGGAGCAAAGGAGGAAGCUGCAAUAAUCUCUGCAACAAAUGCAGAGGGUUCCAGACCCAGAUGCGGCAGCGAGCAGGGAGCAGCAGAGCCACUGAAGCACAAGGGGCAGCUGCUUGCUAUGAAACAGAAGCUCCUUACAAGAACUAAUGCCUUUGACUCAACCACCCUGGGGGUAGAUGCCAGUAUUCUCCCUAAUAAGACAACCAAUGCCCUUUGGGGUCUAUAACCUACCCAGCACCACACAACUAGUAAAAUGGCAGAACCACGUAUCAAUCAGAAUGGAGACUGGAAGUGGUCUUGGAGACCCCAGGUAUUCAUCCAUUAGGUGAAAGGUCACGGAGAGGUGGGGUGGGGAUCCCAGGGAGGAGCUGGAGCAGCUUGGGCAGCAGAGGUGCCUUUGUGGGGCUUGGGGCAACAGCUAUUUAUCAAGAAGUGUGGAAAUAUUUCAGUAUUGUAGCAAAUAGUGUAGACAUACAAGUAUACAUUGUCCUGAGCAGACGCAAGACUCGGUCCCACAUCUGCUGACUCCAAAAGCCAUGCUUUUUACUCUCACCUCUCUCUACCCCAACUAACUCCACCCUUAUCACAAUAUCCUCCCAUCGUCACCUAACUAUCCGACAGAUUCAUGUCUGAGCCUACUUGGUAUAGAACAUGACAGAUCUUUGCACCAUCCUACUGACCAUUUAUAAAAUUUUAAUAAAAUAACUUUUUCUUUUCAUAAAUACAACUGCCUUCUGUUUGUUUGUUUGUUUGUUUGUUUGUUUGUUUGUUUGGCUGCACACACAGCAUGAGGAAGUUCCUAGGCCAGGGACUGAACCCUGUAACCAGGGCCGCAGUAGUGGCAAUGCUGGAUCCUUAACCCUCUGCACCACCAGGGAGCUCUUACAAGUGCCUUCUUAAAAGAGGAGAUUCCUUUGACGAGAAGCCCUCUGGGAACUCCUAAGCACUUUGAUGGUAUUACAGUUCUA
rnacentral:lncRNA from 1 species